rnacentral:tRNA from 1 species
GGGUCGGUAGCUCAGCCGGUAGAGCAGCUCCCUUUUAAGGAGAAGGUCGUGGGUUCGAUCCCCACCCGACCCA